rnacentral:rRNA from 1 species
GAAAGCGAGUCUGAAUAGGGCGUUUAGUAUUUGGUCGUAGACCCGAAACCAGGUGAUCUACCCUUGGUCAGGUUGAAGUUCAGGUAACACUGAAUGGAGGACCGAACCGACUUACGUUGAAAAGUGAGCGGAUGAACUGAGGGUAGCGGAGAAAUUCCAAUCGAACCUGGAGAUAGCUGGUUCUCUCCGAAAUAGCUUUAGGGCUAGCCUCAAGUGAUGAUUAUUGGAGGUAGAGCACUGUUUGGACGAGGGGCCCCUCUCGGGUUACCGAAUUCAGACAAACUCCGAAUGCCAAUUAAUUUAACUUGGGAGUC